rnacentral:rRNA from 1 species
UACGUAGGGUGCGAGCGUUGUCCGGAAUUAUUGGGCGUAAAGAGCUUGUAGGCGGUUUGUCGCGUCUGCCGUGAAAAUCCGGGGCUCAACCCCGGACUUGCGGUGGGUACGGGCAGACUAGAGUGUGGUAGGGGAGACUGGAAUUCCUGGUGUAGCGGUGAAAUGCGUAGAUAUCAAGUGGAACACCAGUGGCGAAGGCGAGUCUCUGGACAUUUCCUGACGCUGAGGCACGAAAGCCAGGGGAGCAAACGGG